CAGCAGAGACACCUGAGCUGAAGCCUGUUUGAGACAAGGGGAAGAGACAGCUGGUAGGCCACCCUCUAUUAGGGUCCCAGACCGCUGGAGCUCACUUCCUCCUCAGCUCCACAAAACCCCAGGUUUCAACAGGUGGAACAAACCAGAUCGAGAUGCCACCACACCUGAUCCUGGGACCAGCCCUUUAUUAACCAGUCGUCGAGGUACGGGUAAAUUUUAAUGCCCUGAUGCUGGAGGCAGUCAGCUGGGGAGUCCCCCAUGAUCUAGACUGUGAAGACAGAGGAGGACUGAACAGCUUCCUGGCCGAGGAGUGUGAAGGCCCAAGGAGCAGAGGGUGGCACGGGAGUCUUUAAGGCCAUAGAGCCUUGAGUCUGUGAGCUCAGAGAAGAGCCCCGCCCCCUCAAAUGGGAGGUCCUGAAUAUUGGCCUGCUUCUCCUGGGAUAACCCAGAGGACUGCAACCAGGAGCUGCGCCUCAUGGCCACCAUGGAGGCGACCACACUAGCUGCUGAAUCAGUAGCCUCCCAGGCCAUUUGGAAGGUUCCUCUUGCCACUGCUGUGCCUUCAUCCACUAAAGCAGCAAACUUCUGGGCUCGGUCCUGUGUGAGGGCCUCCUUCAAUUUAAGGGAAUUCCACAAGUUAAAAUUGUACUAACAGGGCUUGGUGGUUAGACACCCAAAAUUGCAGACUGGCCAUUCAAUAAAUCUU